rnacentral:rRNA from 1 species
UGGGGAAUAUUGCACAAUGGGCGAAAGCCUGAUGCAGCAACGCCGCGUGAGUGAUGAAGGCCUUCGGGUUGUAAAGCUCUGUCUUUUGGGACGAUAAUGACGGUACCAAAGGAGGAAGCCACGGCUAACUACGUGCCAGCAGCCGCGGUAAUACGUAGGUGGCAAGCGUUGUCCGGAUUUACUGGGCGUAAAGGAUGCGUAGGCGGAUUUUUAAGUGAGAUGUGAAAUACCCGGGCUUAACUUGGGUGCUGCAUUUCAAACUGGGAAUCUAGAGUGCGGGAGAGGAGAAUGGAAUUCCUAGUGUAGCGGUGAAACGCGUAGAGAUUAGGAAGAACACCAGUGGCGAAGGCGAUUCUCUGGACCGUAACUGACGCUGAGGCAUGAAAGCGUGGGUAGCAAAACAGGAUUAGAUACCCUGGUAGUCCACGCCGUAAACGAUGAGUACUAGGUGUAGGAGGUAUCGACCCCUUCUGUGCCGCAGUUAACACAAUAAGUACUCCGCCUGGGAAGUACGAUCGCAAGAUUAAAACUUAAAUGAAUUGACAGGGUCAUAGCUG